AACGAACGCUGGCGGCAUGCCUAACACAUGCAAGUCGAACGAGACCUUCGGGUCUAGUGGCGCACGGGUGCGUAACGCGUGGGAAUCUGCCCUUCGGUUCGGAACAACAGUUAGAAAUGACUGCUAAUACCGGAUAAUGACGUAAGUCCAAAGAUUUAUCGCCGAAGGAUGAGCCCGCGUAAGAUUAGGUAGUUGGUGGGGUAAUGGCCUACCAAGCCGACGAUCUUUAGCUGGUCUGAGAGGAUGAUCAGCCACACUGGGACUGAGACACGGCCCAGACUCCUACGGGAGGCAGCAGUGGGGAAUAUUGGACAAUGGGCGAAAGCCUGAUCCAGCAAUGCCGCGUGAGUGAUGAAGGCCUUAGGGUUGUAAAGCUCUUUUACCAGGGAUGAUAAUGACAGUACCUGGAGAAUAAGCUCCGGCUAACUCCGUGCCAGCAGCCGCGGUAAU
rnacentral:rRNA from 1 species